GAGACCACUGGUGCCCGCUGUGUCUUCGGGAGGCGCCCGUCCCCAUCUGCGGGCUUUCCAAGGUGCUGUGCUGGGGUUUGCCGAGCCCGGGUCAACCAGCCGACGGUGGCGGAACGGCGGGCAGGUCGGCGGAGUUAGAUGGCCGCAAAGAACCCAGAGUUGAUCUCUACACCACGCCAUCACUGCCAGGGGUGAGGAAAUUCUGGCACCAGUGAUUCAGCACUGUUUUUUUCUCUCUCUUCAGUGCCUCUUUCAGUGAUAUGAAGUUAAAACCAGAUACCCAGCCGUGGGAUUGCUAGAUCAGACAGAGCCAAUUGAUGAUCAGCAGGGCCUGAAAAUGCCAAAACCCUGAAACAACUGACCUUCGAAAACUUCAACAUCCCUGAACGAAACGUCCAAACACAUUUAUCCACCAAUCAAAGACCCUUUAUAGUCUGUGCUCUGUGCAUCUCAGAAGUCUCUCUUUACCACACUGUCUAUAUACUGCAUGAGCCAUUAUAUGAAACUCCAAGGCAUCUUAUACUAUAUAUUCAACCAUGUAUCCCUAGUACCUAGUACAGUCCUGCCAUAUAGUUUGCUACUAAACAUUUGCAGAAUGAAGUAAUUAUCUUGUAUCCAGGUUCCAAGUUUUAAGGUGAUUUCUCACUAAAAAUAAAGCAUUACAGUUCGCAAGCAA
rnacentral:lncRNA from 1 species